UAAAACUCUGCCAACUACCGAUCCGUCGAUGGUAAUUUAGCCUUGAUGGGGNGGUAAUCGGAAACGAAAGUCUUCCGGUUCCGGGGGAAGUAUGGUUGCAAAGCUGAAACUUAAAGAAAUUGACGGAAGGGCACCACCAGGAGUGGAGCCUGCGGCUUAAUUUGACUCAACACGGGAAAACUCACCCGGCCCGGACACUGUAAGGAUUGACAGAUUGAAAGCUCUUUCUUGAUUCGGUGGAUGGUGGUGCAUGGCCGUUCUAUNG
rnacentral:rRNA from 1 species